GUGGGGUAGUGGCCUACCAAGGCGACGACGGGUAGCCGGCCUGAGAGGGUGACCGGCCACACUGGGACUGAGACACGGCCCAGACUCCUACGGGAGGCAGCAGUGGGGAAUAUUGCGCAAUGGGCGGAAGCCUGACGCAGCGACGCCGCGUGGGGGAUGACGGCCUUCGGGUUGUAAACCUCUUUCAGCAGGGACGAAGCUCUCGGGUGACGGUACCUGCAGAAGAAGCACCGGCCAACUACGUGCCAGCAGCCGCGGUAAUACGUAGGGUGCAAGCGUUGUCCGGAAUUAUUGGGCGUAAAGAGCUCGUAGGCGGUUUGUCGCGUCGGCUGUGAAAACCCGGAGCUCAACUCCGGGCCUGCAGUCGAUACGGGCAGACUCGAGUGUUGCAGGGGAGACUGGAAUUCCUGGUGUAGCGGUGAAAUGCGCAGAUAUCAGGAGGAACACCGGUGGCGAAGGCGGGUCUCUGGGCAACAACUGACGCUGAGGAGCGAAAGCGUGGGGAGCGAACAGGAUUAGAUACCCUGGUAGUCCACGCCGUAAACGUUGGGCGCUAGGUGUGGGGGCCAUUCCACGGUCUCCGUGCCGCAGCUAACGCAUUAAGCG
rnacentral:rRNA from 1 species